UCCUUCUCAAAAAGUGCGAGGCAGAUAAUGGGAUAUGAAGACUGCCUACUAAUGAAACUGCCCAAAAUGCAUAGUGUUGUCUGGGCAUGUGGACAGCACAUCAGAUUGAUUUGUUAGUUAUGAACUCUUCAGUCGACUGAGGAAAAUAUAGCUGACUCCAUGUCCACGCUCUUUACUAGGUUCCUUGGAAAAUUUUCAAACCCCUCAAAAAAGCUUGGAGAAGCCAUCGAGUGAAGCCCUUAGCUCUGCCCCUUCUGGUGAUCACACAGUAAAAAAGCUCAGCCACUCAGACGGAGCUCCCAAGAUCGAUUCAGUACUUUCCUUACAGCCAGGAGCUUAUUCUGUUGAAUUACGAACGGAGGAUAGUGAAAACUGUACAUGACUGAUCUGCCUUACAUGGAAUUAAGGCAGCACCCCAACUGGCCAAGGACUUUAUGAGUGGUGCCUUUCAUUGACUCUGAUCUAUGGCCGUUAAAAAACAAAGGGAAAACCCCCAAAGGUGGGAAAGAUACAGUUCAUACAUAUGCAAAGUUGAAAGCUCCUGUUGUAAAUGAUACUAAUCUUUCUGCCCUACUAUGCUAAUACAAAUUAUGUAUGAAAUAUGCAACAUAAUUAUGCAGUAAUUAUUGCUCCCCAAAACCUAAAAAAACAGCAGAAUGAAUCCACAGAGAGUAGACAGCUCUACGAUGUUAAAAAUGUUUUACCACUUUUUCUGCUUCCUGUCAUCCACAGAGUGACAGAGAAAAUGAAAAAACUUUCCAUCAUAGACCUUUAUUAAGAGUUAUUGCGUCCUUUGACACACUUCACAGUCUCAAUACCUUUGAGUUUUCUAGAGCAAACAAUUGUGCUGUAGUUCCUUUCUGAAGUGUUAGAAAUGGGGAUAAUUCAUAAAAAUAGAGUUCUCCAUUAUCUCAACAAUAUGUUUAUUGUGAGAGUGUUCUUUUUCUUCACUUAAAGUCCACCACCAGUUCUGUUGCGGCAUUAGAAUUUAUUUCCAGAUCAUUUAGGUUACACUAUUUGCAUAAGUUUGGAUAUCUCAUGUCUCUAUACAUUCUCAUCAUAAUGUAGCAACUUAGGCAUGAGAUGUCCUGUUGGUGGGACACUGCCAUGUUUUAAAGUUGUUUAUUUUGUUCUAUUUUUGCAUA